AUUGCAGCCGUGUAAGCGAGGUCAGAGUUGGUUCCUCAAUCUUAAACAAAUCUUCAGGAAAUGUGGGUGUGCAUAUUAAAACUGCCCCACUAGGCAGCUCUGACAUGUGGGGCUGCCUGGCACAAGCACAGCACAUAAUAACACAAAGUCUUUGGCAGAGUUACAGGACUAAUCUUUAUGUAACUGUUCCCAAGCAACUCCUUUAAUGUACUAAGUACAAACAAGCUUUCCGUCAACAUUAGGCUGCAGGCAGAUCAUCCUGUGUCACCUGUUCAUACCGAACAACUACUGACUAUCUCCGUGGCAAGGAAAACCCCAGUCUGCAUGUAUAGCCGAUUCUCCCCAAAUGAUCUCUCUGAUCAUCUCAGGCAUCAUGAAGCCAAAACACAUGUGCUGCUGCACUGAAGAACCACGUGGCAAAUAUAUAAAAGCAUGGCCUGCAGCAUUCCACAGACAUAAAAACCUUCAUGGAAUUUUACCAGCAUCAGGAUUGAUUGCCAGCUUGAGGAUUCUCCAUUGGCAGCAGGUCCAGGAGGGACACCACUUCUGUCUCUAUAUCCAGUGACAGUGUACUACUGGCUGGCUCUGGAGGCAGCCCUACUGCUGCAGGGUCCUCAAAUCCCUCUCUCUGAAAUGGACUUGGUAGAAUCAUGGAGCGAUCCGUGUUCUGUAUUUAAUCUCAGAUCAUGAGAAAAAGUUAAGGGGAGGCUCAGAUAAACAGUAUUAGCAACCCCAAGUAGUUCAAAAAUCAUGAGUUACCCCUCCCUCCCCCAAAAUAUCAUGAGAUUGGUUUAAAAUACGAGAUUUUAAAAAUAUAUAAUUUUGGGGUCCUUUUUAUUUGCUGCCUUGGAUUUUGAAUCUCUGGGCACCCUUGGCUCACAUUUUCUAGCUUUUCUCUUCCAGCAUGGGGGCUAGAAACUUACUUUUAGUUUAAAUGAAAGCUGAGAUUCUUUCCUAAUCACAUGCCUCCAGGAGCGGACGCUUUAAGAAGAACAUCAGCUAUUGCAAGAGUCACAAUAAAAUCACAAGUGUUGGUAACACCGGAAAUGGCUACGCUUCAGCAAGAGAGAAAAUCCAUAAGGUAAAAUUGUUAAUUCUUCCUGGACAAAUGAGGACAUUAAGGAAGCAGAUACUUAGAUGUAAUCAGGAAUGAGUAGGUGAGAUGCUUGUACAUGUACAGAAAUGUAAGAGAAGCUCACAUAACCAGGGAUGAGACAAUAAGAUAUAGCCUCCCUCACCUUGUGUCACCCAUAGGGGGUGGAAUAUAAUUUUAGUGAUAUGAGACUUGUUGACAGGCCCACGGAGCAUAAAUGCACCAUCACAUCACUCUGUUGCUGUACUUAUUAGUGUUUGAACCAUUGAAAAGGUCAGCAGACUGGCUGAGAGAACAGAGGUGGUGGUGUGAUUAUUAUUUUUUUUAAUUCACUUGGUGUGGACAUUUUUUCCUUCUCUUUCCGCUAUCCCUCUUACUCCUUGUUUUAGUUUUAAUUAUCAACCUUUUUUCCCCAAGAGUUUUUUUUGAGGGGGGGGGGACGCGGAGAGGGAGGCUGUUGCACUUUUAAAUCAUUCAUACGUUCAACUGCAGUAAGAGAAUGCUAUUUGAUUCACUUCCAAAAUGAAGUGCUUUUUUUAAAAAAAAAGUUGAAGUGCUCCAAUAAUUUUAAAUUGUUCUGCAUAGUGCAUGCCCAGAACUCUGAUCCUUUCCAAAUGCAAUGCUUCACAUUUUUUUUUUAAGAGCACUUCAUUUUGGAAGUGAAUUAGGGUGUUCUGGGCACGUGCACUGUAGACCAAUUUAGAUUUCCUAGAUUGCUUCAGUAAUUUGAAGAGUACUCCAGUCACUUUUAACUAUUCUCCACUAUCCGUGCCUGCAACUCCAUUCAUUUCUCAACUGAAGCAAUUUUAUAUUUAGGACAAAUUCUGCUGUUCAACUGAAAUUGUUCCA